rnacentral:rRNA from 1 species
AGUGAACGCUGGCGGUAGGCCUAACACAUGCAAGUCGAACGGCAGCACAGGAGAGCUUGCUCUCUGGGUGGCGAGUGGCGGACGGGUGAGGAAUACAUCGGAAUCUACUCUGUCGUGGGGGAUAACGUAGGGAAACUUACGCUAAUACCGCAUACGACCUACGGGUGAAAGCAGGGGACCUUCGGGCCUUGCGCGAUUGAAUGAGCCGAUGUCGGAUUAGCUAGUUGGCGGGGUAAAGGCCCACCAAGGCGACGAUCCGUAGCUGGUCUGAGAGGAGGAUCAGCCACUCUGGAACUGAGACACGGUCCAGACUCCUACGGGAGGCAGCAGUGGGGAAUAUUGGACAAUGGGCGCAAGCCUGAUCCAGCCAUACCGCGUGGGUGAAGAAGGCCUUCGGGUUGUAAAGCCCUUUUGUUGGGAAAGAAAUCCAGCUGGCUAAUACCCGGUUGGGAUGACGGUACCCAAAGAAUAAGCACCGGCUAACUUCGUGCCAGCAGCCGCCGUAA